rnacentral:lncRNA from 1 species
AUGAUGGGAUUGAACUCAGGACCUUGUGCUUUCCAGGGUGCCACUGAGCUACAACCCCAGCCUGAUACGUUUUUAAUACUGAGAGGACUGCAGGAACAUGUCUGCAAGAAUAAAAACACAUGGUAUUUGCUCCCCGCUUCCUUUGUGUUUGGGGAAAGAAAGGAUGAUUAGAGAGGUAAGAAUUAUAAGUCUUCUAAAAAAAAAGAAUUAUAAGUCUUCUCAGACAGGCAAGACACCCCCAGAAUGAUGAUAGUUAUCCCUUCUAAUUUUUCUAUGGGUUAACAUUUUUUUAUGCUUUUCAGCAUUGAAGUAGCUACAAUUACUAUUACCUCUAUUUUUUAUGCUUGGGGAGACUGAGACCCAGAAACUUUUCUAACCUGUAAACAAUCACAAAGCUGGUUCAAAUUGGAAGUGCUUGAAGUUGAACAUUAAAUUCCAAGGUUUCCACUUUAAUAGUGAAGGAAUAGUGAAGUAA